rnacentral:lncRNA from 1 species
GAUCGCAGUGACGACUCGGAAAAUUCAAGCUCAACAGACCGGAAUGCAGGCAUCUCUAUUCAUAGAUUUGUUUGCGUGUCGAUAUUCCCGCUGAACUGAGCGAUCUCUUCUCAAAAAUUAUUUUUACUUUGAUGUUUUUUUUCAUUGAAAUUUGAUGUUUUUGCUUUGGCGAAUGAAAUAUGUUACGAUGAAGAUUCAAAGCUCCCUCUUCUGAUAUAAAAGUUGAGGAAACUCUGCUGGCAGAAUCGAACCUAAUUUAACUUCAUGCCUACUGAGUAA